AUUGAACGCUGGCGGCAGGCCUAACACAUGCAAGUCGAACGGUAACAGGAAGCAGCUUGCUUCUUUGCUGACGAGUGGCGGACGGGUGAGUAAUGUCUGGGAAACUGCCUGAUGGAGGGGGAUAACUACUGGAAACGGUAGCUAAUACCGCAUAACGUCGCAAGACCAAAGAGGGGGACCUUCGGGCCUCUUGCCAUCGGAUGUGCCCAGAUGGGAUUAGCUAGUAGGUGGGGUAACGGCUCACCUAGGCGACGAUCCCUAGCUGGUCUGAGAGGAUGACCAGCCACACUGGAACUGAGACACGGUCCAGACUCCUACGGGAGGCAGCAGUGGGGAAUAUUGCACAAUGGGCGCAAGCCUGAUGCAGCCAUGCCGCGUGUAUGAAGAAGGCCUUCGGGUUGUAAAGUACUUUCAGCGGGGAGGAAGGGAGUAAAGUUAAUACCUUUGCUCAUUGACGUUACCCGCAGAAGAAGCACCGGCUAACUCCGUGCCAGCAGCCGCGGUAAUACGGAGGGUGCAAGCGUUAAUCGGAAUUACUGGGCGUAAAGCGCACGCAGGCGGUUUGUUAAGUCAGAUGUGAAAUCCCCGGGCUCAACCUGGGAACUGCAUCUGAUACUGGCAAGCUUGAGUCUCGUAGAGGGGGGUAGAAUUCCAGGUGUAGCGGUGAAAUGCGUAGAGAUCUGGAGGAAUACCGGUGGCGAAGGCGGCCCCCUGGACGAAGA
rnacentral:rRNA from 1 species